CUCACUCUCUCUCCAAUCAAAAACCCUAAUUCUCUUUCCUUCAAUGAUCGCCUCUUUAGUCUUUUCUCAACACAAACCCUAAUAUUCUCUACUGAUCAAUGGCGAUUUUCAGAAAAUCCUAAAUCUCAACCGAUCGAGCCAUGAAACGCCAUCCUUCCGAUUUCCAUCUAUCCCUACCGAAACCCUAACUGCGAGGCAAUGAGAUGAAGAACAUAAUCAAAUCCAGCCGAUCGAUCUUCUGAUACAAGGUGGGAUUGGGGAUGGAGGAUAUUCGCUUUGUUUCUUCUAACCCGUUGAUUUCUACCGGCAACAGAACUACCAAAUCAGCCUCUCAUCCGUUGAUGUCUGCCACUGUUAAAUCGUCUGGAUUUACGGGCAUUCGUUGUUAUGUCUUUGAGAGAUCCAAACACUCCAACUAAAGGUAGCAAAUUUGAUCCUCCUCUGUUAUGUAGUGGUUUCGUGUAUGAAUGAAUUAAAUGAGUAUUGCACCGUGAUUCUUGAUUUAUUUCCAGCAAUUGGAAUUUUUGUUAAACUCACAAAGUUUUUGAGUCUGAGGCCUGGUGAGUAUCAUUUAUGCAUCUGACAGCACUUUCAUUUCUUUAUAAUAUAUAUUUGGUUGAAUGUUUCAAUAGUUUAUUGAAACUAAUUGUGGUUCGAUUCAGCUACAUAUAGUGUUAUAUUGUUUUCUUUUUUUUAUUUCUAAUUAUAAGUCAUUUCAAUUACUUUCUAUAAGUUUAUUUGUCUUUGUUUUCUUUUAGUCUAUUUGAAGCCCCUGGCUCUCAUGAUGAGUAAGUGUCAUGGUGUAAGAAAGUAGGAAAAUGCUACAUUGUCCAUGACUAUUUCGUACUUUGAUAGGUUCAAUAACACAUGUUUCCUAUUUUUUUUACUGUUCAUGUGAAGUGUUUAAGACUUCAAUGGUUUAAGCUUUCAUGUGUUGUUGUACUAAUUGAAGGUCAGGUAUCAGUGUUGAAAUAGACGAAAUGGUGUGCGAGGUUUUAAUGUUAUCUCAAGUUGAUGUUAAAGUUGAACCAGGGUAAAAAGUGUUUAUAAUUAAUAAUGCAUUUUACACACCGGAAACAUCGUUAAAUUUGAAGCUCAGAUUGUAAGUCUCUUUCUUAUUAUUGCGAGUACCGAUUGUUAUUAGUUAUUGCCUUAAUGAAGGUCGCCGUUCAAAAAAAAAAAUAGUUGUUGUCGUUCUUUACAUUGUUUCUCAUAAGUAAAAUAAUUAUUUUCUUAUAAAAGGGCCCCAAAUUACGGUUUCGCUUUAGGCCCCCCAAUAUAGUUGAGUCAGCCCUCCGGUAGAUAGAUUUAGGAUUACUAAUUUUGACUUUCUUGCGUUGAUUCAUGGAUGUGAUUAGGGAGGGACUUAGCGGGUUUGUAAGAUCUAGAGGAUCUGAAGUUUUCUUCUCCACAACACCAAUCGAAGAUUACCCAGGUGAUUGAUACGUCAGUCGUUUCAGAUCGCUUCACAUAUUUGGGAUUUUCAUUCGAUUUAUUAAUAUGGAAAAUGCUUUAAUUUAGGGAAAAAUGGGUUUUUCGAAUAAGGUAAUAACUCUACCCAAGACUCUGAUUGCUCAUUUCAAUAGUGUUUGCCAAGUUUACAGAAGAUGCUGACUUAACCUGGUCAUUGAAUCCGAGACUGAUGAACCUUGGAGUUGGAAUGACACUUUACCGAUGUCAAGCCGGGAACUUAUCAUCUGGAAAAGUAAGUGUCUUAACUUUGGUUAUUUUGUAUUUCAUGGAUUAUUAAUGUCUUGAAGCUUGCUCGAAACCAUUGGAUUACUUUUUAUUAUCUCUUAGUGACUUAAUAAUGAUACGAGAAUGAUUAGAUUCUUUCACUCAACGAGGCUUAGUGUUUCAGAUCAAAGAUGCAUAAAACAUGGACCGUGGGAUGGUUCGCCCUUAACAGGUUAGAGAAUGACAAACUGAAGAUUUUAGUUCCUCCAUUAACUAAAAAAAGAUUUUAGUUCCUCCAUUAACUUUCAUUGAUUCUUCAGAACCCGUUAAACCUGUAACGAGUUAAAUAGGAAACAUAAUAAAGUGGGCAAAUUUGAAAUGUUAAACAAAAAAUAAGUUGUCUUUAUGAAUUUCAAACAUAUUCUUGAUAUUGGCAUAAAUCUGAUUUGGGGUUGAGGGUUUCAUUGAUGAUUCUUUGUUGAAGAUUGGAGAUCUAUUUUUGUUUCACACUGACAAAGGUGGUUUGUUUAGACACCAUAAGAUUCACGGCGUUUUGUUAAUCGUCUAACAAAACCCCAAAUCUGAGUCGUUUUGUUCAUUGGAGAUUUUAACUUAGGCGUCCAUCAGUGGAUUUCAUCUUCAUCUAUUUCGUCUUGAUUGAUCCUGGUUAGUUUUUCUUUUUUGCUAAUUUCUGUAAUAUCAAAUUGGGAAUUUUUCAUUGAUUUCGCAUCACGUUUAUUCACUUUGUUGUUGAUUUAAAAAUUGGAAAAUUCUCAUUGGUUUUGGAACAACCGCUACUAAGAAAGCUGUUUUCUUCUCAAUGGUACUUCCCGUGUUGAAGGCGUUUUUACUCUGACUCAAAAAGAUGACGGUAUAUCUAUUAGUUUGUUUAUGUUUCUUGAUUAUUUGUGUGAAUAGUGUUCUUAGAUUUAAACCCUAGGGUUGGGUAAUUAACUGAAUUAUAACUGAACUAUCUGAGUUAAACAAGGGAAUGAGUAGAAAUUAUAGGGUUUUAUCAACUUUCAAUGAAAAAGUGUUGGUUUCGGUUCGGUUUGGGGCUUAAAGCCAAAAUGAACUGAGUCAACCGAGACGAAUGGGUUUUUAAAAACUUUUAACUGAAAGUUUUUGUUUCGGUUCGGUUGAGGAUUAUGGUAAUAAAAAAUUCCCUUGUGCAUUGUUUUUUUUCCUUAAAAGCUUGCUGGUUAUUUUAUUAUCAUUUUAGACCGGCUUAUGCAAGUUUGCGUGCUAUUGAGAAUGAUUAUUCUCUGGUAUGCAUCUUUUAUUCAAUGGGUCAAGAAAGUUAGGCGGGUUGAAGGGUAUUUUAGAUAGUUGAGUUGUAGUUAACAUGUUUUUUCAAGGACUGUAUGUCUCAAUAUGAUUUAAUUGGAAACUGCCCACACAUGGUUGUGAUGGGAAGAACUGGAUUGGCGUUUGGAUUCUUCAUGGUAAGAUUAUUGUUAUCUUUUAUAUUUUAUGUAUUUCAUUUUUACUCUUUGUGCCUACAAAUAGUAAAUGAUCUCUUUUUUAGAUGUUAUACAAACCAGAUGUGUCCCGUGGUGGGGUAUGCACAAAAUUUUCAGUCAAACGGGUCAGAAAAGAUUGUUUCGGUGGUCAACAUGAAUUUUUGAAAAAACUAUUCAUAGAAAUAAGAAUCCGUUGAUCCAACCUGAAGGUUCUAAAAAUUAUUUAAAAACUUUCAAAUAUGAAAGAUUUGAACGGAAUUUGUCGAAUUUCAUUCUACGAUUCUAUUUGAUGAAAACUUUUCUCCAAUCUGAUCAAUGGGAUCACUAAUAAUGUAAGAGAUUAGUAUGCCGACUCUGUCCAACAAGGCCCGCAAUGUUAACCUCUUUGCAACUGAUUCCGUGGUCAACUUAGAUAACUUUUUCUUUAUAUAUAUAUCAUGAAAGAAAAGUUGCAGACUUGCAAGAUUAAAUCAUGAGGUCCAUUAUAAUAUGAUUUUCAAAUGGUACUAGGUAGCAGUUCUUUGUCGAAGUUUGAUAACAAGGGUAAGGCUUUCUGCUUUGCUGAAGAACCCAAAGGCUAGAAGUUGGAGUAGACUUGAGAAAACUUAUAUGUGAAGGAACACCAAGAAGCAUCAGGGAUAGCCCAUAAGAUGGUGUCCGAUAGUCAUGGUGGAAUGGUAAUACAAAAGAACAUGACCCUCAUCCGUGGACAAUCGACCAUGUAUACAUUAAAACUUCAAUCAUGUUUCAUAUCCAUCUUUUGUUUUCGUCGCUACGUUUUCUAUAUUUUGACUCCACUCGAUUCAUUUCUUCACCUCUCGACUCAUGUCGAGCCAUUUAAAUUUUUUUUGAUCUGCAAGUUAUAUGAUAUUUUAUCAUUAAAAGAGCAAAAUUUAUCCCUAGAUUAAUGCACCCAAAGAUGUUUUUUUAGUUUCUACUUGAAUUGUGCAGUUUUUGUUAACAAUUAGAAUGGGACCUUAACUUCUAGACACCCUUCUCAGGGCAUAACACGAUCUUCUACAAAUGGUUUGCCAGUAUAUUAUCUUUUAUUCAACUCAACCUUGGCAUUAGAUAUUUUGUGCUUAUGAAUCUUGAGAUAGGUUGUCCAGCAUGUUACACCAUCCCUACUGCUGAUUCGACCUUUUUAGGUUUUUGGAAUCUAGGCGUAGCAAUUUGCAGCGUUUGACAACUUGCAUUUGCACACAAACUAUGAAUAAGUGGUUUAAAUAUGUUUAAUAAUGUUUUAAUUGUUUGCAAAGGCGAUUUAGUCCUUUUUUUAUUGAUGACAUCCUUGAUCUUUCCAAACUCGAGCAAGGUAAAGUCUAGUUAUUUAUUAAUUGUCAUUUUAUAAUUGGUAUUUCCUUAUUUAAUAGUGUUUUGGGAUUGUUUCAGGAGGUAUUAGGUUGGAGGACACAAAAUUGAGACCUAGAGAAGUAAUCAAGCAUGGAUUCUAACUGUUGUGGCAUCAUUAAAAAAAUGCUCAUCUUAGGACAUGUAGCAAAUGUGUGCCAGUGGAGGUUAGAUAUACAAUAUCAAUAUACAAAUUUCUACAAAAUAUCAUUUCUUUACACUUUUUUAUUAUUUUUAAAGUCUUUUUAAUUUCCAUCUUUACAUUUUUAAAGUUUAGCAUACAUUUUUUUGCUUAAUUGUAACGUCAAUUACUAUGUAAUUUCAUU